rnacentral:rRNA from 1 species
GAUGAACGCUGGCGGCGUGCCUAAUACAUGCAAGUCGAGCGAACAGAUAAGGAGCUUGCUCCUUUGACGUUAGCGGCGGACGGGUGAGUAACACGUGGGUAACCUACCUAUAAGACUGGAAUAACUCCGGGAAACCGGGGCUAAUGCCGGAUAACAUUUAGAACCGCAUGGUUCUAAAGUGAAAGAUGGUUUUGCUAUCACUUAUAGAUGGACCCGCGCCGUAUUAGCCAGUUGGUAAGGUAACGGCUUACCAAGGCAACGAUACGUAGCCGACCUGAGAGGGUGAUCGGCCACACUGGAACUGAGACACGGUCCAGACUCCUACGGGAGGCAGCAGUAGGGAAUCUUCCGCAAUGGGCGAAAGCCUGACGGAGCAACGCCGCGUGAGUGAUGAAGGUCUUCGGAUCGUAAAACUCUGUUAUUAGGGAAGAACAAAUGUGUAAGUAACUGUGCACGUCUUGACGGUACCUAAUCAGAAAGCCACGGCUAACUACGUG